GUAGGUGAACCUGCGGAAGGAUCAUUACCAAUACGAAUGCGGGUGGGGAUCCCCAAAAACAUCAGCUCUUUUGCCUGUUUUUGCCCCAUCUGUCUGACUAUUCACCCAUGUCUUUUGCGUACUAUUUGUUUCCUUGGUGGGCUCGCCCGCCAGCAGGACAUUAUUAAACCUUUUGUAAUUGCAGUCAGCGUCAGAAAAACUUAAUAGUUACAACUUUCAACAACGGAUCUCUUGGUUCUG
rnacentral:misc_RNA from 1 species